rnacentral:rRNA from 1 species
CGCGUAGGCGGCUUUGUAAGUCUGGAGUGAAAGUCCCGUUUUCAAGGUGGGAAUGGCUUUGGAAACUGUAAGGCUUGAGUAUGGCAGAGGUGAGUGGAACUGCGAGUGUAGAGGUGAAAUUCGUAGAUAUUCGCAAGAACACCAGUGGCGAAGGCGGCUCACUGGGCCAUUACUGACGCUGAGGCACGAAAGCGUGGGGAGCAAACA